rnacentral:rRNA from 1 species
AGUGGAUGGGGAGCAACCUAGUUGUGCGUGUGUAAAGGUAGUGCCAAGAAAAGCGGUGAUCAUGAUGAAAAUCAAUUCCCGGUACCCGAAACCGACACAGGUGGGCAAGUAGAGAAUACUAAGGGGCGCGAGGUAACUCUCUCCAAGGAACUCGGCAAAAUGACCCCGUAACUUAGGGAGAAGGGGUGCCACCGAGAGGUGGUCGCAGUGAAGAGGCCCAGGCGACUGUUUAGCAAAAACAUAGGUCUCUGCAAACUCGAAAGAGGAGGUAUAGGGGCUGACGCCUGCCCAGUGCCGGAAGGUUAAAGAAGUUGGUCAGUCUUAGGAUGAAGCUAGCGACUGAAGCCCCGGUGAACGGCGGCCGUAACUAUAACGGUCCUAAGGUAGCGAAAUUCCUUGUCGGGUAAGUUCCGACCCGCACGAAAGGCGUAACGAUCUGGGCGCUGUCUCGGAGAGAGGCUCGGCGAAAUAGGAUUGUCUGUGAAGAUACGGACUACCUGCAUUUGGACAGAAAGACCCUAUGAAGCUUUACUAUAGCUUGGAAUUGUGUUCGGGCUUCCUGUGCGCAGGAUAGGUGGGAGGCGUAGAAGGUAUUCUUGUGGGGAUACUGGAGCCAACGGUGAGAUACCACUCUCAGGAGGCUAGAAUUCUAACUUAAUUAAGGACAGUUUCAGGUGGGUAGUUUGACUGGGGCGGUCGCCUCCAAAAAGGUAACGGAGGCGUACAAAGGUUCCCUCAGACUGGUUGGAAAUCAGUCGAAGAGUGCAAAGGCAGAAGGGAGCUUGACUGCGAGAAGUACAGUUCGAGCAGGGUGGAAACACGGUCUUAGUGAUCCGACGGUGCUGUGUGGAAGGGCCGUCGCUCAACGGAUAAAAGUUACUCUAGGAUAACAGGCUGAUCUCCCCCAAGAGUUCACAUCGACGGGGAGGUUUGGCACCUCGAUGUCGGCUCAUCGCAACCUGGGGCGGAAGUACGUCCCAAGGGUUGGGCUGUUCGCCCAUUAAAGCGGUACGUGAGCUGGGUUCAGAACGUCGUGAGACAGUUCGGUCCAUAUCCGAUGUAGGCGUGAGAAUAUUGAGAGGAGCCUUCCUUAGUACGAGAGGACCGGGAAGGACGCACCGCUGGUGUACCUGUUAGGAUGCCAAUUGUAAACGCAGGGUAGCCAAGUGCGGAGAGGAUAACCGCUGAAAGCAUCUAAGUGGGAAGCCCACCUCAAGAUGAGUAUUCUGGUGUAAGGUCACGGGAAGACGACCCGUAAAUAGGCACGAGGUGGAAGUGCAGAGAUGUAUGAAGCCGAAGUGUACUAAUAGACCGUCGGCUUGACC